AUUGAACGCUGGCGGCAGGCCUAACACAUGCAAGUCGAGCGGAUGAAGGGAGCUUGCUCCUGGAUUCAGCGGCGGACGGGUGAGUAAUGCCUAGGAAUCUGCCUGGUAGUGGGGGAUAACGUCCGGAAACGGGCGCUAAUACCGCAUACGUCCUGAGGGAGAAAGUGGGGGAUCUUCGGACCUCACGCUAUCAGAUGAGCCUAGGUCGGAUUAGCUAGUUGGUGGGGUAAAGGCCUACCAAGGCGACGAUCCGUAACUGGUCGGAGAGGAUGAUCAGUCACACUGGAACUGAGCAACGGUCCAGACUCCUACGGGAGGCAGCAGUGGGGAAUAUUGGACAAUGGGCGAAAGCCUGAUCCAGCCAUGCCGCGUGUGUGAAGAAGGUCCUCGGAUUGUAAAGCACUUUACGUUGGGAGGAAGGGCAGUAAGUUAAUACCUUGCUGUUUUGACGUUACCAACAGAAUAAGCACCGGCUAACUUCGU
rnacentral:rRNA from 1 species